UACGUAGGGCGCAAGCGUUGUCCGGAAUUAUUGGGCGUAAAGAGCUCGUAGGCGGUUUGUCGCGUCUGCUGUGAAAACCUCAGGCUCAACCUGGGGCUUGCAGUGGGUACGGGCAGACUAGAGUGCGGUAGGGGUGACUGGAAUUCCUGGUGUAGCGGUGGAAUGCGCAGAUAUCAGGAGGAACACCGGUGGCGAAGGCGGGUCUCUGGGCAGUAACUGACGCUGGAGGAGCGAAAGCGUGGGGAGCGAACAGG
rnacentral:rRNA from 1 species